AAUAAACAAAUCUUUUACUUUUUAUCUACAAUGUUUGAAUAUUCGUCUUAUUCAAAAAAUAUAUAAUUAAUAUUUUUGUUUUUAUUAGAUGAUAUAUCAUGAAUAGUAUUUUACGUGCGACUAAUUUUUUUCAAUUCCUUAACAAAAAUUAAAUAAAAUGGAUGGUUAAACGCUAGACACGAAAACCGAAAGUUUGUCUUAGG
rnacentral:pre_miRNA from 1 species